rnacentral:rRNA from 1 species
UCGGAUGGAAGCGUACCCGAAAGGGUGCGUGGAAGCCGGCGGACAUCUAGAACUCUUGUUAAUUUUGUUAUUCUGAAUCAAACUAAGAAAUAAGUUAAAACUUUCAACAACGGAUCUCUUGGUUCUGGCAUCGAUGAAGAACGCAGCGAAAUGCGAUAAGUAAUGUGAAUUGCAGAAUUCAGUGAAUCAUCGAAUCUUUGAACGCACAUUGCGCCCAUUAGUAUUCUAGUGGGCAUGCCUGUUCGAGCGUCAUUUCAACCCUUAAGCCUAGCUUAGUGUUGGGAGACUGCCUAAUACGCAGCUCCUCAAAACCAGUGGCAGAGUUUUUACGUACUCUGAGCGCAGUAAUUCUAUUCUCGCUUUUGAACACGUCUAGACAUAGCCAAAAACCGCUUGCCUCGGCAGCACUUUUAAUGGUUGACCUCGGAUCAGGUAGGAAUACCCGCUGAAACUUAAGCAUAUCAA